UCUCAAAUCCCACUCUUAAUCUCCCCUAAAGUGUGAUCAACCAGACGUUGUACUGUACACUUGAAAUCCUAUCUUUAGGAAUCCAAAGCCAGGAGGAUUGAAAUUCUAGCCAGCCUGUGCUAUCCAAUAGCAUGAUCCUUUUUUUUUUUUUUUUUUGUUAAAUUUAUUUGCCUUUGUAUUUUAUGUGCACUGGGGUUUUGCUUGCAUGUAUGUCUUUGUGAGAGUGUCAGAUCUUGGAGUUACAGACAGUUGUGAGCUGCUAUGUGGGAGCUAGAAUUUGAACCUGGGUCUUCUGGAAACACAGUCAAUGCCCUUAGUCACUGAGCCAUCUCUCUCAUGCCGCAUGGUCCUGUUUUUAAGUAAUUUUGAUGAUCAGGUCCUAAUCAUAAUUUUUGUUCUUAGAUAUAAUAGAGACACCCCCUAAAACCCCCUAGACAGGGUUUCUCUGUGUAGCCUUGCCUAUCCUAGAAGUCACUCUGUAGACCAGGCUGGCCUCCAACUCAAAGAUCUGGCACCAGAUUGCUGGUAUUAAAGGUGUGAGCCACCACCACCUGGCUGCUUUCUUUUCUAGAACAUACAGAUCUAUUUAAUUUUUUUUCUUUCUAAAUAUUUUCAACAGGUCUUUUUGGUUAUUCUGAGACAGGGUUUCUUUGUGUAGCUCUGGCUGUUUUGGAACUCCCUCUGUAUGUAGACCAGGCUGGCCUCACUCAGAGAUCCACCUGCCUCUGCCUCCAGAGUUCUGGGAUUGAAGGCGUGUGCUACCACCUCUCAGCUUUGAACAGUUUCUAGGUCUAACCUAUAUGUCGUAUGCAGUUUAGUGAAACUUUUUACCACAUCUCAGUUUUUAGAGUGUUUUCUUUCUGAUACAUUCUCUGAAAUUGGGUGUUUAUGCUACCAUUUACUUAUCUGAUCUAUGAGUAUUAGUUGAAUUUAGUUUUGUUACAAGAUUCGGUGAAUGUGAUUAUACAUAAAAUUUCCAGCAUUUCUCUUGGUACUUCUUCAGACUAAAAUAUUCAAAAGAUGAUCUGUAGGUCUGAAGCAGUUCACAUUUUAAGUAUUGAUAAGUACUGUUUACCCUUCCAUAAACAUUUGCUUAUAUGGUCCCCAGUGAGUGUGCUUUGGGCAGCAAAUCUUAUAUAUGGAACACACAUUCUCUGGAGUGCAUCUCAUGAGCGCUCUAGAGUGUAGUUUGAAAAUCACCUAAUUUGUGUUUUUAAGAAUUACUCUGACUCUUUUGAAGUGUGCCCCCAAGUGGUAAUGAUUCAACCCAGGGUCUUAUACUGCUAAGCAGGCGCUCUACCACUAAACCCAGCACAGAUUCACCCUGAUUUUAAAGGAAAGCUUAUGUUGUUUAAGUUGUUUUUAUUUGAGAAGGAAGCCGGGUGUGGUUAUACACAACUAUAAUGAAGGUGGAGACAGCAGACUUAUGAAUUCAAGGCCAUUCUGGGCUUCAACAGUGAGACACUAUCUCC
rnacentral:lncRNA from 1 species